GAAACAGAUGAUGGAUCAACAUCCUGAAAAAUACAAGACAGCAAAUUAGUUAUAGUGAACAUAACAUACACAGCAAAUAGAAAAUUUAGGAAGAACUAAAAGUAUUUGGUGGCCCAAUGGCUAAGUGGUAAAGUGAUUGGCUUCCAACUGGGGGUCUCAUUUUUUAAUUCUGGGAUCAUCUGCCUCAUAGAUUAAAAUUUUUUUUUAACACUUAACACAAUAAAAACUAUUCAUCUAUAUCAAGAGAAGACUUUUUUUCUUUAAUAAUUCUAUCUUGUGGACUCUAAGCAAUUUUACCGCCUUGCUUUUUGAUCAACCUCUGCUUAGAAGAUCAGUACUGAAUAUUCACCAGCAAAAUUUGUAGGAUUACACAGCCAUCCCCUAAAGACAUAAAUAACUUUCAUUAUCAGACUUACUAUUUACAUUAUUGAAAUACCCAUAUAUGUUUUAAUUAUCAAUAUAUUUAAAUUACAAAUAUUCAACAAUACAAAACACCUAUAUUAUAUUUAUAUACCAGUGUCACAUCUUGAUGGUGUGAGAAUGUUGUUUGAAUUGUAUUAGGGCCUCUUCUGGCCUUGAUGUAGUAUUCUUGUAUUAUCAAUUAAAUCACAACACAUAUUAUGGAUAAAAUAAUCACAAACUCCUCUCUGGCAGAUGAAUAUUUAUUACAUCAAAUAAUAGCUCACAAAAUAGGCAAUCUCAGCCAUAGAAUAUCAUCACAAAUUACUUCAUAUAGAAUACAAAUUACAUCCAUAGAAAAUCUCCACAUAGAUAUCCAUAAUAUUCAUUACAUUUUCUUAAAACCAGAGACACCUCCGUCUCUCGAUGCAUCAUGGCGCUAACUAACUAAAACAUCUGGUCAUGUGAUCAGGUACCCCCUUUCUCAACAAUGUACAAGUCCCCAUUCUCACAUGAACUGAAAUCAUCUCGUGCAUCUCACUCUAAUUAUAGUUUUACAACCAGUAUUACAAAAAUUUAAAUUAAAAAAAAAUCACAAUACUGGUACCUCUGGUAAUUUGUAUAUUCUUG